rnacentral:rRNA from 1 species
AUUGAACGCUGGCGGCAUGCCUUACACAUGCAAGUCGAACGGCAGCGGGGGAGAAGCUUGCUUUUCCUGCCGGCGAGUGGCGAACGGGUGAGUAAUACAUCGGAACGUGCCCUGUAGUGGGGGAUAACUAGUCGAAAGAUUAGCUAAUACCGCAUACGACCUGAGGGUGAAAGUGGGGGACCGCAAGGCCUCAUGCUAUAGGAGCGGCCGAUGUCUGAUUAGCUAGUUGGUGGGGUAAAGGCCUACCAAGGCGACGAUCAGUAGCUGGUCUGAGAGGCCGAUCAGCCACACUGGGACUGAGACACGGCCCAGACUCCUACGGGAGGCAGCAGUGGGGAAUUUUGGACAAUGGGCGAAAGCCUGAUCCAGCAAUGCCGCGUGUGUGAAGAAGGCCUUCGGGUUGUAAAGCACUUUUGUCCGGAAAGAAAUGGCUCUGGUUAAUACCUGGGGUCGAUGACGGUACCGGAAGAAUAAGGACCGGCUAACUACGUGCCAGCCGCCGCCGUAACAC